rnacentral:sRNA from 2 species
CUCAUCGUCUUUGGGGAGUAGCCUGCUUAUUCAGCUUGAAUAAGUUCGUUCGUCAACAUAAUUGGUGCAAAAUCACCAUGGCGUUCGAGACCUUUGUAUCAAUCAGACUUUUCUGGGUACAAGGUU